UGGUGGAGUGAUUUGUCUGGUUAAUUCCGAUAACGAACGAGACCUUAUCCUGCUAAAUAGCCAGGCCGGCUUUUGCUGGUCGCUGGUCUUCUUAGAGGGACUGCGGUAGCGUCUAGCCCGCGGAAGUUUGAGGCAAUAACA
rnacentral:rRNA from 1 species